UUUAUUAGUUCUUAAUACUUUCUUGCUAUUUCCAGUUAAAUUUGAAAACCAUAAUUUUACUGAUCCUAUUAGUGUUCUUUCUUUCUAUAUAUUCUGGUGCAUCUGUUACGUUUAUAUUAUUAUCUAAUAAUUGUUUUGUCAUAUAUCCUAUCCAUAAUUGUAUUGUUUUUUCUGUAUCUAUUACACAGUCUAGAUCUAAAAAGUU
rnacentral:lncRNA from 1 species